AGCAUCCUCCAUCACUCAGGAGCUAGAGGCAGGGACAGAGAGAGAGAAGGAGGGAGGCAGCUCCACCUACUCCUUAAUGAGCGUGCUGAGCCACAUUGGGACCAAUACGGACUGCGGUCAUUACACAAGUGACUGUGCCGAGGAAGGGGGACUCUGGCUCUCUCUAAAUGAUGAGGAAGUCUCCCCCACCACUCAGGAGGCUGUACUCAGAGAUAGAGCCAGCACUGCCUACAUGCUUUUUUACACCAGAAAGUGAAGUGCCCCUUUCUGGUCAUCAAGGCUCAGCACCAGACGCAGGCAGGACUCUCCUGCUCAGCAGGAGACACUCAACCAGAGACGUCACAUGUGAAAUAAGGGUUCUGUGAGAGGCUGUUGGACCUGCCCCCCCACACCAACAUCAAGCUGGCCUCCUUGGUGGGGUCUCCCCAGGACCGGAGCGCUAAAACAGCUCAGUACCAUCAAGUCCUGCUGCUGAACCCCCCCGUCCCCCCCAAACAAACGCAUACUUGCCCGAAUAAACCAAAAACCCAGUGUUUCACACA